rnacentral:rRNA from 1 species
GCAGCACCCGCGGUAAUUCCAGCGCCAAUAGCGUAUAUUAAAGUUGUUGCAGUUAAAAAGCUCGUAGUUGGAUUUCUGGUAGGGUGCCAAUGUCCGCCGCCGUGCGUGCGCAGCGGCGCCCUUCCAUCCUUGUGUCAACGCCUCUUGGCAUUCGUUUGCUGGUGGCGGGCUCACAUAUUUUACCUUGAGAAAAUUAGAGUGUUUCAGGCAGGCUAGGCCGGAAUACAUUAGCAUGGAAUAAUGGAAUAGGACUUUGGUGCUAUUUCGUUGGUUAAUGGGACCGAAGUAAUGAUUAAAAGGGACAGUUGGGGCCGUUUAUAUUUCGUUGUCAGAGGUGAAAUUCUUGGAUUUACGAAAGAUAAACUUCUGCGAAAGCAUUCGGCAAGGAUGUUUUCAUUGAUCAAGAACGAAAGU